UCCCAAUAUAAUAUAGUAAUUAGACUCAAGGACUAAUAUAAUUAGAAUGCAUGUCUCAUAAUUAGUCUCCUUUUUUUCACUUAUCUUUAAGAAAUUUCUAGAACUCAUAUAUUAUUUCAAAUUUCUAGAACUCAUAUAUUAUUUCUUGCUUCUUCCUUCACUAUUCUCAGGCUUUGAUUAAAUUAGAACUCUAUACUUUACUAUGAAAAUUGGCCCUCAUACAUAUUUCGGUAAAGAAAACUUUAAUUCAAGGAGUAAAUUACCUACUUAGCUUCGGAGGUUCAACUUUAAUAAGACCAAAUUAAUUUCACCAUUAGAAAACAUGAAGAUCAAAUAAAAAUUUCAUGAACCAUUUUUGAAACCACAAUAAUUAAAUCCGAAAUUGGGCUUCCCUCCAAUUAUUUAAUGCAGCCAUUGUUAUUUUAAAAGAGUUGGACUCAUAUUUGUUUUCUCAUUCCCUUGGCCCAAGUAAAAAAAAUGCUAGCCCAAACAAUUAAAUCAAAAUAACCCACAUAUAAAUAUCCACUUCACCCCCCUCACCAAACAAAUCCUAAUCCUACUUUGAUGAGAGAGAAGCUCCCACUUCUCACUACCUGCUACUUAUCGUCGCCACCCUGCCGGCGCCGCCGCUUCCGGUGACGUCUCUCUCUCUCCCUCUCUUUCUCGGAUCUGCCGCCGCCAACACUGUGCAUGCACAGGCGGCGGCUUCGGCCUCCUCCGUGCCUCGCACCGUCGGUCGCCGCCACUGCCGACACCCCUCCCCCGUCGUACGUCGUUUUUUCCGAUAGGUAAGAUGGUGAAACUAGUGACGGAUCAGGGGUGUGGGGUUGCCACCGUGUCGACGGGGUGCCUAAGUUCAGUCGCCGGAAUCUGGCAGAUUCAUAUUCAUGAGAUAAGAUUCUUAAUUUAUGCUUACCUUUGUUGUAGGACUUGGAUUAUAUAUGUUAUAUGAAUUUGGUGAUCCUUGAACAAUUAUCUUGCUACUUGAGAUUUGAUGGUGAAACAUGGGUGUUAAACUUGCUGUGUAUUGUUCAUUUCUGAUAUGGGCAGAUUCUACUUUCUCUUUAGAUAUGCAUAUGUUUGUACGUAUAUGCAAGAAAAGAAAUGUUUGGGAUUUACCUUUUGAUGGUGAAAAAAAGUGUUGUUGGAUUGUAGGACUUGAUCCUACAAUUAUCUGCAGCUCUUCACCUUCGAUUCCUUGUCAAUCCUAUGUUGUGUUGGUGUGUGUGUGAAGAGAACUUUGGGAUGUUGGAUAGUGAUGGGUACUUGCAAGUGCAAUGACGUGGGGUUUAUACACUUGUUUCUUUGCAAGUUGCUAUGCAAGUUGUGGGGAGUUCAAACUUGGGGAAUGUUUAACAUGGGGAAGGUUUUAACUUGUGGGAGGUUUACUACAUAAAAUCUUUUCAAAGAUUGUGUUUGGAUUUGGGAUAAAUCUCCUCCGUCUAUUAAUUCUGUUCAUUUCUACUAUUGGAUUUCAUUUGAUUUUUCUCAAGUAUAUACAUGUAGAUUUCAUUUAUAACUAAUUUAUCUCACUCUCUCUAACUUUCUUCUUAUGUAGGAAAGAAAAUCUCUAUGUAGGGAACAUGGGCGAUACAUCGGGCUUCCUUGGAAAAUACUACAACCAUCGAACUGGUUAUUCGGCACUCAGCACGUUUCUCCCCAAUUGAUUUAGAUUAGGAUUCGAUAAACUUGUAUCAUAAGACUUUUUCGAAGUUCCGAUGGACAUGCGAUGGAUAUGCCGGACAUUAACAACUUUUAUUUUGGAUUUACUCUUUUAGUUGUAUAUGAAAUACUCGUGGAAACAA